GAUGAAGAACGUAGCGAAAUGCGAUACUUGGUGUGAAUUGCAGAAUCCCGUGAACCAUCGAGUCUUUGAACGCAAGUUGCGCCCGAAGCCAUUAGGCCGAGGGCACGCCUGCCUGGGCGUCACACGUCGUUGCCCCCCCAUCUACUCCUUCGGGAUUGCGGGGGCGGAUGAUGGCCUCCCGUGCGCCUCGUCGCGCGGUUGGCAUAAAUGCCAAGUCCUCGGCGACGCACGCCACGACAAUCGGUGGUUGCGAAACCUCGGUUGCCCGUCGUGUGCGGUCGUCGCGCAUCGAGGGCUCGAAAAAAUUGUCGGGCUCCGGCUCGGCUUUCAACGCGACCCCAGGUCAGGCGGGGUUACCCGCUGAAUUUAAGCAUAUCAAUAAGCGGAGGA
rnacentral:misc_RNA from 1 species